GUGAUUAAAGUUAAGUAUGAAAAGUAAGCUUCCGGAUGUGUUAAACAAAAGUAGCAAAACCGAAGAUGAGGUUUAACACUUUACUUGAAAUAUUUCAGGGACUUAGUUAAUACCAUUGUAUAAAUUAUACGCAGAUAAAGAUGUCAAAGGCAAUACCAAACGCAUGCAUGUUUUGUUCACACGAAGUGCCAGUAAGUUUUUGUAAAAAUUGCGACUGUGUUUUAGGCAAAAACUGUUUAAUUAACCAUAACAAACUUCCGGUAUUUGCGAAUCACGUGACGGUGGAACUGGACGAUACACAAAAGCGUACAAUCGUAGAUUCAACAAAAGAGUAUAAUUCAAAUACUUCAGAAAAUGAUGAUUCAGGAUGUAACUAUGAUAUUCAUUUGCAGAAGUGCCCGCAUCAUGAAACUGAAAACCAAACACUGUAUUGCGUCAAGCAUGACGCCACGAUUUGCGGAAGAUGCUUGCGUACGAGACAUAAAUAUUGCAUUGAGGAAUGUAUUGACUUGUUUGAUGUUACAAUUGAUGAAAAACUUCUAGAUAAAACGCUGACAACUAUAAGUGAAUUCGGAACUAAGAUACAGGAUCAUGAACAAGCAGUUAAAGAAAAUAUUCAACUAAACGAUCACUGCAUGUCAACCUCUCUCAAAGAUUUAGAUGAAUUUUGCUCUGAUCUGAUUGAACGAAUAAAUGAUCUCAAGGAAAAUGUGUAUAUUGAUUGCGUUCAAAGGCAUAAACAAACACGUGAAAGACUAGUGAAAAUCAAAGAAACAUGUGAUAAGGAGAUGCUAACAGUUAAUAAGCGAAAACAACUAAUAGAAACACAAGUGCAACUUAAGCAUAAUCGUAGUCUCUAUAUUGAGGCGGUUCGCCUUAAGCGGGAUAAAAAAGAAAUAUCUGCGAGGAUACAACAAAUACGUGAAGCCAACCAUAUGAUACAAUACUCAUUUUGCCCGAAUGAUAAGCUAGCACAAUUGUUAAUCAAUAUCGCAAAAGAGAUUGGAUGGGUACAGGACAAGGUGGACGGUAGCGAUGAGUUUGCAGAAGAUUCGUCUGUAGAUGAAGCAUGUGAUUUCGUAGCAUAUAUAGAAUUCUACCCGAGCGAAGCCGCCAUGGAAAGAUAUGAUUUAACAAUUAAAGACGAUUAUCUUUGGGAAGAUAAUCUCAAAUUCUACAGAAAUGAGAGUGCCUCCAAGCCAUUUCCAGGAAGUUAUGUUGAAGACAUGCUUGCGUGGAGAGGAGAUUACAAAAAACUGGAAACAGGAUACUUCUACAUUCAGUGGUAAACUUCAUUGACUAGAGUGUCAAUUCAAUGACGACCUUCACAAUUCCGACAUGAAGCAACGUAGGAACACUUAUCUUUUUAGCUCUGAGCGCCCAUCUAAAUUCUGGCAAAGAUGAAUGUAUUGCAUUGAUUUAAAUCAUGAAUUAUCUCAAUAAUAAUUUCAAAAAUCAAGCGGCAAUAAAUCUGUCAUUUUAAAGCCCAUUAUCAGAAUAUAGUGUAUGUAACACUUAUUAUGUAAUUGAUGCAUUACAAAAAGGCACAUAAAUUCUGUUAAGAUGCGAAGAUCGUUCUAAAACCAUAUAAAACGUUGGUGGGGAUAAUAUACCAAUUCAAGCUUAAUUAAAGUGUUUAGUAAAGGCUUGUUUAUUCGUUGUUAUUGUGUUAUUAAAGCCUGAUGCAUUCUUAGAUUUGUAUUGGAUGCUAUGUAUGACGUUGUUAUGUUGUGCAAGGACCCGACUACCAAACCUGUAUCCUGACUGAAGCUCAUGGUUGUUUCCAAUUCCCGCCUCUUCAGGUUUAAAUAACUGCGCACAGGAACUAUAUGCUCAUGAAGCUGACGAAAUGCAAAGAGAUCCUAUUGUCGUUGGAAAAGUUCUACGUUCGUAUGAAAUGAUGCUGGAUUUCUACGGAAUGGAACUUGUAGAUGUAACAAGUGGGAAAGUACGUCGAUGUACAAAGAACUGGGAAAAUAGAUAUGCUUAUUUAAAUCGCACGUUUCCCAACUACAUACGAAUACGAAGAAUAUUGAUAUGCCUAGGGCAACUGGGUUAUGAGAGGUUUCAAGUACCCCUGGUUAGGUUCAUAAUGGCUGAAGCAAAAGUAACAGAAGAACUACAUGCUGUUGAUUCGAAGAUAAUACGGAUUUUGAUUGAAGCAAUUAAAGACGAAGAUGAUCGAUUAUCCAUGUCGACGCUUCUAUUAGACAUGGAAGCUUUCCCUGAAUUGUUUGAUCAAUACGGAUUACUUAAAAUGAAAUUAAUACACAAUUAGAGAGUGAGGUGUACAAACAACUCUCACACCUGCAAGAAGCUAAUAAUCGCACGUUUAAUUGUGUUUUAUGCCAAGGUCAUGUGCUUUAAUACCAUAUCAAAAAUAUCAAUUUGAACAAUAACAUUUACUUUAUUUUAAAAUAUCAUGUUGACAUGUGUUGCAUGACCUUGUAUUGCAAUUAUUUAAGGUAAUUCUUCUAUUUAUCAGAAAACCUAGUACAAUAAGAACACUUUUAAUGUAGAUUUUCAUUCGUUAAAAAAAUCAAAACAUGGGGUUUAUCUUUUUGAGUGAUCAAGAAAAACUUCCUUAACGUGAAUACAACAAAUACAAUUAUUUGCUCUGUAUGUACAGCAAACGCCUACAUUAUUACAACAAAAUAGGGAAAACUUUGCGCAAUAAAUGUAUUAUAUUUUAUAUUUUGGGAACAGUGGUCUAAUGGUAGGGCGCUGGCUUAGGGAUCGAGAGGUCCCGGGUUCGAAUCCCGGUCUGGCUACUGGAACUUCCUUGAGUAAGAAAUUUAUCCCACAUAUGCUCCUCUCCACCCAGGUGUAUAAAUGGGUACCUGUGAGGGAAAUAAGCCAAUGUGCCGUGGCUGCAUACUGCGCCAAGAUGUAAACGGACGACUUAAGACCCAGUGAUCAGGGACAAAAUGUCAAGCGCCUUUGAACGCACAUCUCGAGUUUGAAAAGGGCGCUAUGUAAAUGUGGUAAACAUAAAUACUAUAGAUAAAAUUACUAUGACUCUCCAGCAUAAUAUGUUAAUUCAUUUACCAUGCCGUAGAAGCAUUUGAUAAUUAAAUGAGAAUAAAGUAUGAGUAGCUUCUUAACACCACGGCUUCAGAACAUAAAACGCUACGGGUUAUAAAUAACAUUGUGUUUAUUAUUACUUUUAUUAUCAUUAUCACUAUUAUUAUUUUUUUUUUUAAUAGGUUACAUGGAAAUUAUUACAAGUGUAGAUAGAUGCUCACGAACGCACAUAAAUGAAUAUUGUAUGCAGGGGCAAAUUGAGCGUUGAGAUUGUCUAAUUCAGACUGGGAUAUUGUUAGUUGUUCGCUUAUUUAGUCUUGGUUGCAACGGAGACUUGGGAAAGACAUUUUAACCAAGGAGGUGUAACAGGCCAUUCAGCUUUACACACCGUAAUAAGAAUGUUAACUUUAAUAAAUCACAUUUGAAGUGUAAUACAACAUGCAUUUAUAUUGAUUGAAAUAAAGCGUCGGUUGAUUAUACAUUAAUACUCCUAUUGACCCAUAUUAAAUAAAAAAAGUUAUGUUUC